CAAUAGCGUAUAUUAAUGUUGUUGCAGUUAAAAAGCUCGUAGUCGGAUUUUGGGAGCAUGUUGCACUGUCUGCCGAUUGGUAUGUACGGUUUAACGGCUUCAUUCCUUGACAAAACUCUGGUGGGCCUUCAUUGGUCUACUUGUUGGGUUGCCGUCUUUUACUUUGAAAAAAUCAGAGUGUUUCUAGCAGGCAGCUCGCUCUUGCAUAGGUUAGCAUGGGAUAAUUUAAUAGGACUCUGGUGCUAUUUUGUUGGUUUCGAACACCGGAGUAAUGAUUAAAAGGGGCAGUCAGGGGCACUCGUAUUCCGUCGAGAGAGGUGAAAUUCUCAGACCAAUGGAAGACGAACCACUGCGAAAGCAUUUGCCAGGGAUGUUUUCACUGAUCAAGAACGAAAGUUAGGGGAUCGAAGACGAUUAGAUACCGU
rnacentral:rRNA from 1 species